rnacentral:rRNA from 1 species
AUACGUAGGGGGCGAGCGUUGUCCGGAAUGAUUGGGCGUAAAGGGCGCGUAGGCGGCCCGGUAAGUCUGGAGUGAAAGUCCUGUUUUUAAGAUGGGAAUUGCUUUGGAUACUGUCGGGCUUGAGUGCAGGAGAGGUAAGUGGAAUUCCCAGUGUAGCGGUGAAAUGCGUAGAGAUUGGAGGAACACCAGUGGCGAAGGCGACUUACUGGACUGUAACUGACGCUGAGGCGCGAAAGUGUGGGGAGCAAACAGGAUUAGAUACCCUGGUAGUCCACGCAGUAAACGAUGAUGGCUAACCGCUGGUUUUUUCGGAUCAGUGGCCAAGCGAAAGCGAUAAGCCAUCCACCUGGGGAGUACGAUCGCAAGAUUGAAACUUAAAGGAAUUGACGGGG